rnacentral:rRNA from 1 species
GUCGAGCGAACGGACGAGAAGCUUGCUUCUCUGAUGUUAGCGGCGGACGGGUGAGUAACACGUGGAUAACCUACCUAUAAGACUGGGAUAACUUCGGGAAACCGGAGCUAAUACCGGAUAAUAUUUUGAACCGCAUGGUUCAAAAGUGAAAGACGGUCUUGCUGUCACUUAUAGAUGGAUCCGCGCUGCAUUAGCUAGUUGGUAAGGUAACGGCUUACCAAGGCAACGAUGCAUAGCCGACCUGAGAGGGUGAUCGGCCACACUGGAACUGAGACACGGUCCAGACUCCUACGGGAGGCAGCAGUAGGGAAUCUUCCGCAAUGGGCGAAAGCCUGACGGAGCAACGCCGCGUGAGUGAUGAAGGUCUUCGGAUCGUAAAACUCUGUUAUUAGGGAAGAACAUAUGUGUAAGUAACUGUGCACAUCUUGACGGUACCUAAUCAGAAAGCCACGGCUAACUACGUGCCAGCAGCCGCGGUAAUACGUAGGUGGCAAGCGUUAUCCGGAAUUAUUGGGCGUAAAGCGCGCGUAGGCGGUUUUUUAAGUCUGAUGUGAAAGCCCACGGCUCAACCGUGGAGGGUCAUUGGAAACUGGAAAACUUGAGUGCAGAAGAGGAAAGUGGAAUUCCAUGUGUAGCGGUGAAAUGCGCAGAGAUAUGGAGGAACACCAGUGGCGAAG